AUUGAACGCUGGCGGCAUGCCUUACACAUGCAAGUCGAACGGCAGCACGGGAGCAAUCCUGGUGGCGAGUGGCGAACGGGUGAGUAAAGUAUCGGAACGUGCCCAGUCGCGGGGGAUAACGUAGCGAAAGUUACGCUAAUACCGCAUACGAUCUAUGGAUGAAAGCGGGGGAUCGCAAGACCUCGCGCGAUUGGAGCGGCCGAUAUCAGAUUAGGUAGUUGGUGGGGUAAAGGCUCACCAAGCCGACGAUCUGUAGCUGGUCUGAGAGGACGAACAGCCACACUGGGACUGAGACACGGCCCAGACUCCUACGGGAGGCAGCAGUGGGGAAUUUUGGACAAUGGGCGAAAGCCUGAUUCUGCCAUGCCGCGUGCGGGAUGAAGGCCUUCGGGUUGUAAACUGCUUUUGUACGGAACGAAAAGGUUUGGCCUAAUAAGCUGAGCUCAUGACGGUACCGUAAGAAUAAGCACCGGCUAACUACGUGCCAGCAGCCGCCGUAA
rnacentral:rRNA from 1 species